ensembl:lncRNA
UCAAAUUGCUGAUUGUCAAUUAAUUAGUUUUUUUAACCAUCUCAAGGUCAAUUUUGCAAUCAGCACUCCGCAGUGAACGCUUUGCACAUGUUUAAAGACUUACAUCUGAUCGUGCAUUUUGCUGCCAAAAAGCAUUAGCUCACUUCUACAUGUAACCAACCAGUAAUAGGGCCACACCCUGGUUACACUAGUGGUUUUGCACUUAUGUUGCUGUUCUAAUAAGACAUGACCGAGGCAUUUAUGCAAAAUACAUUUAUUCUGGUGAUGCAGAUGAGCCUUUGUUUUCUCUACGUCUAGCUUUGUUCAUUCCUGCCCUCUCCAAGUGACCUGAAAUACAACUAGGGAAGCUGAAUGGCAGUAUCUUCCUGCUCUCCUUAUACCUGGUUGUAGUAGGUAGGCAUCCUUCUCUCUAUGGAACAGUGCAGAUGAGAAAGGCACAUGUCUAGAAAAUGAGGAGAAAAUCAUGGAAGUCCCAGAAGACCUUGAAUGCUCUCCGAAGUUUUGGACUGUAUUCAGGAGCAUGAGAGCAUUGUGCUUCAGUGGGAUGGGUGGAGGCCAUCAUGUAUUCAUAAGGAAGAACUGUGGUGAGGGAAAUGCUGCAGCAGAUAUGGACCUGAUUAACACUGUGUCCUAAUGUUAGUGAGAUACAGUGUUUGUAGCAAGAGCAGGUAGAAAUAUGUUGGGUUUCCUAAUUUGUUUUCUUGGUUCUCAGCUAAAAUUAAUGUAUAGCAGAAUCAUUCCCCUGAAUUCCAGCCCUCUUCUGUGCUUUUUUCCAAAAGCUUUUUGUUUCCUAAUGGAAAGAAGAGCCAUGCUGCCCACCCACAUAACAACAGUGUGUUUCACAGCAGUUGCAUGACUCAAGAUUUAAUGCAUGCAAUCAUGAAUUGUUCCUUUCCUUUUCCUAUCACUGAAGAGUAGAUCACUGGGUAGAUAUGCUAUCAUUGUACACCCUCAGCUUUGGGAGCAUUUUUGAUCUACACAAUUCUUGUGGAUUGCAUAUCUUUGUAAUGUAAUUUUCCAUUAAGCAGAGGAUAAUUUAGAGUUAAAGCUGAACAUCUGUUUUUGACAGGGAACAAAGAAAAACAGUUUUGGUUGUGAAACCCAAACUCCUUUGACAAAAAUGUAAUAUUUUACUGCAGAUACACUUGCUUAAGUCUUCUUGACAUCACUUUAUGCACUGAUAACGAUGUGACUUUUAAGGCUGACCUUCAUUUUCUUGCAGGGCAGAUGUGACACUGUGAUGUCUGGGAUUUUACCUGCCGUGAGCAAUGCAGAAUUAGCCUGUAGACCUCAUUGUUAUGAAUGGAAAUGCUGCAUAUACAUAAAAUACAGCCAAGCCAUUGUGCCACUGGCCAAUAGUUGAAAAAAAAUAAUCAAUCUGUUUAUGAAUCAUAUAUUUUGUCAUCCUAAAACACAUAAAAAGCAAGAUUUUUUAAUGGCUAUUAUUGAAACAAAACAACUGGAAGAAUGAACAUUUUGAUCAGAGAGUUUUAGGCAUAGACAAGCUACAAAAAGCGACAAAAAUCAUCAGCUUAAUUUAAUGCAGAUGAUUUCUAAAUGUUGGAAUAUCUUCUUUUCGAGUAGCCCUCUGUAAACACUGCAAUCUUUGGCAAAGUGAUUGGAAGAUCCCCUGGGGUAUAGCAGAUAAUGUCUUUCACCAAGACUAUUCUUUCAGGAAACCUUGAGGCUGCAAUUAGUGCAAAGUGAAUCACAGCACUGCGCCAAACUGAUGUAAGUUAGGGCAUUUGGAAAACCUGGGGGUCUUCCUAGAGUUGAAAGCAGAAAGCGUAAGGAUUAUCAAGCAGCAACUACAAGUCAUAUUUUCUUCCAAUGAGAAUGAAUUCUAUUGCAUUUUUUAAUUAUCCUUUGGGAUUAUACAAUUAUGUGGAAGAAAUGUACAUUGUAAAACUUCCUCUGAGAAAGAUGGAAAGCUCUUGUUUGAGUUUGUAUGUAGGCAAUUACCAGUAAUAGCUUUUGAAAAAUCACAGUAAAACAAAUUUAAGUAAAACUAAAUGUGGAAGUUAGUUAACAAGUACAUCACAUAAGUCUUCUGG